CCUACGGGAGGCAGCAGUGGGGAAUAUUGCACAAUGGGCGCAAGCCUGAUGCAGCAACGCCGCGUGAGGGACGACGGCCUUCGGGUUGUAAACCUCUUUUAGUAGGGAAGAAGCGAAAGUGACGGUACCUGCAGAAAAAGCACCGGCUAACUACGUGCCAGCAGCCGCGGUAAUACGUAGGGUGCAAGCGUUGUCCGGAAUUAUUGGGCGUAAAGAGCUCGUAGGCGGUUUGUCGCGUCUGCUGUGAAAACCCCGAGGCUCAACCUCGGGCCUGCAGUGGGUACGGGCAGACUAGAGUGCGGUAGGGGAGAUUGGAAUUCCUGGUGUAGCGGUGGAAUGCGCAGAUAUCAGGAGGAACACCGAUGGCGAAGGCAGAUCUCUGGGCCGUAACUGACGCUGAGGAGCGAAAGCAUGGGGAGCGAACAGGAUUAGAUACCCUGGUAGUCCAUGCGUAACGUUAGGUAACGUAGAUAGUAGGACGACUACCUACGGUUACGUUGUGUCGCAGCGUACGACAUUAACGUUACCCGUCCGUCGGGUAGGUACGGCCGCGACGGACGUAAACUACAAACGAAGUAGACGGCGUGAGACGUGCCGACGGACGACGACGAGGGAGGUAGG
rnacentral:rRNA from 1 species